rnacentral:rRNA from 1 species
AUUGAACGCUGGCGGCAGGCUUAACACAUGCAAGUCGAACGAUGACUCUCUAGCUUGCUAGAGAAGAUUAGUGGCGGGCGGGUGAGUAACAUUUAGGAAUCUGCCUAGUAGUGGGGGAUAGCUCGGGGAAACUCGAAUUAAUACCGCAUACGACCUACGGGUGAAAGGGGGCGCAAGCUCUUGCUAUUAGAUGAGCCUAAGUCAGAUUAGCUAGUUGGUGGGGUAAAGGCCUACCAAGGCGACGAUCUGUAACUGGUCUGAGAGGAUGAUCAGUCACACCGGAACUGAGACACGGUCCGGACUCCUACGGGAGGCAGCAGUGGGGAAUAUUGGACAAUGGGGGCAACCCUGAUCCAGCCAUGCCACGUGUGUGAAGAAGGCCUUUUGGUUGUAAAGCACUUUAAGCAGGGAGGAGAGGCUAAUGGUUAAUACCCAUUAGAUUAGACGUUACCUGCAGAAUAAGCACCGGCUAACUCUGUGCCAGCAGCCGCGGUAAUACAGAGGGUGCGAGCGUUAAUCGGAAUUACUGGGCGUAAAGCGAGUGUAGGUGGCUCAUUAAGUCACAUGUGAAAUCCCCGGGCUUAACCUGGGAACUGCAUGUGAUACUGGUGGUGCUAGAAUAUGUGAGAGGGAAGUAGAAUUCCAGGUGUAGCGGUGAAAUGCGUAGAGAUCUGGAGGAAUACCGAUGGCGAAGGCAGCUUCCUGGCAUAAUAUUGACACUGAGAUUCGAAAGCGUGGGUAGCAAACAGGAUUAGAUACCCUGGUAGUCCACGCCGUAAACGAUGUCUACUAGCCGUUGGGGUCCUUGAGACUUUAGUGGCGCAGUUAACGCGAUAAGUAGACCGCCUGGGGAGUACGGCCGCAAGGUUAAAACUCAAAUGAAUUGACGGGGGCCCGCACAAGCGGUGGAGCAUGUGGUUUAAUUCGAUGCAACGCGAAGAACCUUACCUGGUCUUGACAUAGUGAGAAUCCUGCAGAGAUGCGGGAGUGCCUUCGGGAAUUCACAUACAGGUGCUGCAUGGCUGUCGUCAGCUCGCGUCGUGAGAUGUUGGGUUAAGUCCCGCAACGAGCGCAACCCUUUUCCUUAUUUGCCAGCGGGUUAAGCCGGGAACUUUAAGGAUACUGCCAGUGACAAACUGGAGGAAGGCGGGGACGACGUCAAGUCAUCAUGGCCCUUACGACCAGGGAUACACACGUGCUACAAUGGUAGGUACAGAGGGUUGCUACACAGCGAUGUGAUGCUAAUCUCAAAAAGCCUAUCGUAGUCCGGAUUGGAGUCUGCAACUCGACUCCAUGAAGUCGGAAUCGCUAGUAAUCGCAGAUCAGAAUGCUGCGGUGAAUACGUUCCCGGGCCU